CCCUGGUUGAUCCUGCCAGUAGUUAUAUGCUUGUCUCAAAGAUUAAGCCAUGCAUGUCUCAGUGCAAGCCGUAUUAAGGCGAUACCGCGAAUGGCUCAAUAUAUCAGUUUUGGUUCCUUAGAUCUUACUCAGUUACUUGGAUAACUGUGGUAAUUCUAGAGCUAAUACAUGCAAUCAGAACUCUGACCAGUGAUGGGAUGAGUGCUUUUAUUAGAUCAAAACCAAUCGGCGGAGGGCCUAGCGUCCGAAGUCGUUAAUUUUGAUGAAUCUGGAUAACUUUUGCCGAUCGCAUGGUCCAGUACCGGCGACGCAUCUUUCAAAUGUCUGCCUUAUCAACUUUCGAUGGUAGUUUCUGCGACUACCAUGGUUGUCACGGGUAACGGGGAAUCAGGGUUCGAUUCCGGAGAGGGAGCCUGAGAAACGGCUACCACAUCCAAGGAAGGCAGCAGGCGCGCAAAUUACCCACUCCCGGCACGGGGAGGUAGUGACGAAAAAUAACGAUACGGGACUCUUACGAGGCCUCGUAAUCGGAAUGAGUACACUUUAAAUAUUUUAACGAGGAACAAUUGGAGGGCAAGUCUGGUGCCAGCAGCCGCGGUAAUUCCAGCUCCAAUAGCGUAUAUUUAAGUUGUUGCAGUUAAAAAGCUCGUAGUUGAACCUUGGGUCUGGCUGGCCGGUCCGCCUCACCGCGAGUACUGGUCCGGCUGGACCUUUCCUUCUGGGGAACCUCAUGGCCUUCACUGGCUGUGGGGGGAACCAGGACUUUUACUGUGAAAAAAUUAGAGUGUUCAAAGCAGGCCUUUGCUCGAAUACAUUAGCAUGGAAUAAUAGAAUAGGACGUGUGGUUCUAUUUUGUUGGUUUCUAGGACCGCCGUAAUGAUUAAUAGGGAUAGUCGGGGGCGUCAGUAUUCAGCUGUCAGAGGUGAAAUUCUUGGAUUUGCUGAAGACUAACUACUGCGAAAGCAUUCGCCAAGGAUGUUUUCAUUAAUCAGGGAACGAAAGUUAGGGGAUCGAAGACGAUCAGAUACCGUCGUAGUCUUAACCAUAAACUAUGCCGACUAGGGAUCGGACGGGAUUCUAUAAUGACCCGUUCGGCACCUUACGAGAAAUCAAAGUUUUUGGGUUCUGGGGGGAGUAUGGUCGCAAGGCUGAAACUUAAAGAAAUUGACGGAAGGGCACCACAAGGCGUGGAGCCUGCGGCUUAAUUUGACCCAACACGGGAAAUCUCACCAGGCCCGGACACCGGAAGGAUUGACAGAUUAACAGCUCUUUCUUGAUUCGGUGGGUGGUGGUGCAUGGCCGUUCUUAGUUGGUGGAGCGAUUUGUCUGGUUAAUUCCGGUAACGAACGAGACUCUAGCCUGCUAAAUAGGCGUCGUCAUUCAAGGUGUGCGCGACUCUCGGGGAGCGCAACUCACUGGCGACGUAUUAAAAUUCUUCUUAGAGGGACCGGCGGCUUCGAGCCGCACGAGAUUGAGCAAUAACAGGUCUGUGAUGCCCUUAGAUGUCCUGGGCCGCACGCGCGCUACACUGAAGGAAUCAACAUGUUCUCCCUGGCCUAGAGGCCCGGGCAACCCGUUGAAACUCCUUCGUGCUGGGGAUUGGGGUUUGCAAUUAUCCCCCAUAAACGAGGAAUUCCUAGUAAGCGCGAGUCAUAAGCUCGCGUUGAUUACGUCCCUGCCCUUUGUACACACCGCCCGUCGCUACUACCGAUUGAAUGAUUUAGUGAGGUCUUCGGACCGACACGCGGUGGCCUCACGGCCGUCGGCGUUGCUGGGAAGUUGACCAAACUUGAUCAUUUAGAGGAAGUAAAAGUCGUAACAAGGUUUCCGUAGGGGAACCUGCGGAAG
rnacentral:rRNA from 1 species